UUAUUUUUGAUAUUAAUAAGAAAUUGUGAAAAAUUAACGGAGGCUUUCUCCUCCUCUCUCUCUCUCUCUCUGUCUCCACCGUUAGCUUUUUCCUCGGAAACCCUAAGUUAUCUUCACUGUUACAGAGCCGCUCGCUGUGACACCAAAUCGUCGUUCAAAGGUUCUUACUCUCCAAUUCAAGAGCUUCCUAUUCAGCCGAAAAAUCGGAGGUAGUGAAAUUGAAGGCAGUGGCGGCGGAGAUGACAGUUUUUCGUUCUCUGAUUGGCCGCAAGUAUCGUCUCGUGUUGGGUAACGAUCGUGAUGUACUUCAGAUGUCUUCCAUAGAUCCAGGAUCUUCUUCUUCCUCAGCGUUUCCAGAUCAACCUCAUAAUCUCAGGUAUUUAUGCUCUUCGAUCUGUAUGAUUUCAGUUAUUUUGAUUCGUUUUUGGUGAUCUGAGAUUAGAUGAAUGUGAAAGAAUUUCAAUGAAGCUGGUGCUGCUUUUGAUAGGAAGUGAAUUACUGUGUUUUUGCGGAGGGAUUGAAGUUGUAGUAGUGAUUUGAUGUUUUUUCUUUUUUGGAUAUUCUGAAGACUCUAUUUUCUUUAGUGUUUAUGAAGGAAUUGAAACUAGUAAGUAAUCCAAUGUUUUUGGUGUGAAGAAUGGCUUCUUUUGACUAGUGUUCAUGUUGUUUAUCAAGGUUCUAAAAAUUGCAAUAACUGCUUAUUGUUAGCUUAAUUUUAUGCUGGAAUUACAGGGGUGGCUUUUGGUUCUGUUUAUUACCAUUUAAAACCUGAUAACAAUAGGUCUUGUGGGACACUUUACCGGUUGGUUAGCAUUACCAUUACAACAUACAUCUAUAUAUGAACGGAUUGGGUUUUGUUGUAUGUGUACCCUCCUUGUUGCAGCCUUUACCAGUGUAGUUUAUGAACGGUUGGUACUCUUUUUUCCUCCUCUAAAUAAUAGUCUCAUGCUUAUUCUCUCCUAAAUUGUAUAUACUUUGAAGUGUUGAAGUUGCAGCUAACUUUUAUGCUGAAUCAUGAUAUGUUAGUUAGUUGGUUGCAGAGUUUACUGGGAUAUUCGGCUCUGCUUGAUGUUCCAGUUAAUGCUUCCUUUAGCUAUUGCAGUAGUAGCAUUUUUGUAUCCCUCCAACUAUACUCACUCAAGAUAUUGGUUUUCAUCAAUAGAUUAGAAGAUGUUAAAGAUCAGCUUGAAGAGUUGGAGAAAAGAGUUGAAAUUUCCGAAGGUGGUAAAAUUGUUAACAUAACUUCAUGAGCUCAGAAAUUUCAAGAGGUGUCAGGCUUCGUUUCUUUUGAAUUCUGUAGCCAGGAGAUUUGGAAAAGGUACAGCUUGGUCUCUGCCACAGUUACAGCAGAACAAAAGUGUCUCGUUCCCAGACGCACUUCGCCUCAGCAAUUCCUCUGACCCGUCGAAAUAUGUUGCGUACGCGCAGCAGCAGAAUGAUUGUUUUCGUUCUGAGUAUUCUUCUCUUGCUAAAGACUGUGAUGAUCAUAUUGAUACUCAUCAUUUGUUAAUUGGGAAUUCUGGUGGCCAAACUUUCCUAUCUUGGUUUACUUCAAGGAAACACAAACAAUUCCUGAAGGACAAAUUCAUUUCUUCACGGAAAAAUCCAUCAAAGGCUUUUGUCCAUUGCAGAGGAAACUUUAGCAGAGUUUCUUUCAAAGGCUACUGGAACUGCUGUUGAGUGAGUCCAAAUGCCUGGAGUGAAGGAAAAUUUACAAGGAAUGAGCUUAAGGAUCAAAGCUAGAAUUUUGGGGGGCUACUAGCAUAAAGAUGAACCUGCCUCUCCCAAUUCAGUGCCUAGGCACUAAACUUUUAUAUUAUGGUUAUUUUAAUGUAUAAUUUAUAAUGUUAAAAAUUUAAUAAUUUUUUUUAAUUUGAGAUAAAAUUACUUGCAGAUUUAGCUGCGGAAUUACCUGCGGAACUUCCUGCCGAAAAUAUUACCCACGAAGGUUUUAGCUGGGGACAUGAAACCGCAGGAAAAUCCGCAGGAAAUAUGUUUCCUGCGGAUAAUUAGCCGAAAUCCGCAGGUAAAUCCGCAGGAAAACAGAGUAUUUCUAGUAGUGUGUCAUGAUUAGAUAUGAUAUAAUACAACAUUGUACUUAACUAGAUAAAUGAAAAAGACACCAUGCAAAUCACACCACUUUAUUCCUGUACUAAAAUUUUGGAAUAAAAACAAGAGCAUUGCCACCCGCAACAUGUGUUCUUUUCAUUCACUUUAUUCCGCAAAAUCCUAAUAAAAAAUGCUUGGAAUCUGAUGUAAGCAUUAAUUGGAAAGAAAAUUAAUAAUAAAUAAAAGGCUUAAGCUAUGGUCAUUCUUUGGAGAAAUAAAAGGUAGCAUAUUUGAUAAGGUUUAUAUAUAUUAGUUAACAGAAUACAAAACCUUAUUAUAGUAAGUGAGAUCAGCAACAUAAAUCAACUUUCGUCAUAAUUUUUUAUUCAGAAUCAAGUUUAUAUGAGUGAAUAAAUAAAGAAAAUAUUUUAUUUGAAAAGGUUGGAUUAUGAUUAUCGUAAAGUACCAAAUUAUCAAAUCCUUACACAAUAUUUAGACCAACCAACUCCACCAUCAAGCAACAUUAUUACCAGUAGAAAUUGCAAACAAUGAAUUUGACUUCACAGAUAUUUAUUGGUGAUAAGAAAGAGAUAAUCUGCAUUCCAAGGCUUAGAGACAAUAUUGUUUUAAACCUCAGGAUCAAGGUUGUCAAGAUCGAGAUCUUACCUAAGAUCGGGAGAGAA